rnacentral:rRNA from 1 species
GUAACCCAACCCAUAGAUUGCCACACCACUUGCAAUCCGCCAGAGGACUACAAGUGAAAACUUUAAACUCUAAGGACUUGACGGUGUCCCACCCAUACUAGAGGAGCCUGUCCUAUAAUCGACACCCCACGCUAUACCUUACCCCCCCUAGCCAACCAACCUAUAUACCGCCGUCGCCAGCUCACACUGUGAAUGCACCACCGUAAGCACAAUCAUCACCCAUUAAAACGACAGAGUCAAGGUGUAGUUAAUAGGGGGGGCAGCGAUGGGCUACAUUUUCUUCACUAGAAAAUACCACCCGCACCAUGAAACCUUUGCCCACAGGUGGAUUUAGAAGUAAGCCCUGACAAGACAUGUCAACCUGAAAUACGCCCUGGGACGA